CCUACGGGAGGCAGCAGUGGGGAAUAUUGCACAAUGGGGGAAACCCUGAUGCAGCGACGCCGCGUGAGUGAAGAAGUAUUUCGGUAUGUAAAGCUCUAUCAGCAGGGAAGAAGAAAGACGGUACCUGACUAAGAAGCCCCGGCUAACUACGUGCAAGCAGCCGCGGUAAGACGUAGGGGGCAAGCGUUAUCCGGAUUUACUGGGUGUAAAGGGAGCGUAGACGGCUGUGCAAGUCUGAAGUGAAAGCCAAGGGCUCAACCCUGGGACUGCUUUGGAAACUGUGGGGCUAGAGUGCAGGAGAGGUAAGUGGAAUUCCUAGUGUAGCGGUGAAAUGCGUAGAUAUUAGGAGGAACACCAGUGGCGAAGGCGGCUUACUGGACAGUAACUGACGUUGAGGCUCGAAAGCGUGGGGAGCAAACAGGAUUAGAUACCCUUGUAGUC
rnacentral:rRNA from 1 species